AGUAAGUCACGUGUGUUUCCUAUUUUGCCCAAGAACAUAUUCCUUCUUCUCUAUUCUAUUUCACUAGACGACCUCUUUCUCCCUCCCAACCAUCUCCGAUGAACUGCUACCCUCCACCAUUGCUCUAGCCACCGACCACUCACCGCCUCCACCUCCACAAGAGUUAUCGCCUGUGCCGCCCUCCACCCCCCUCAAACUCGUCGACAUCAACAUCAGGAAGAUAAUCCACUUCCAAGAGCAAUCAACAGUUGAAAAGAUAUUGGGACUAUACUACAAUGAAUUCAAAUGAUAAUGGUGGAGUUGAAGAAGA